AUCCAGCUGACGAGUCCUAAAUAGGGCGAAAAAAGUGUCCUGGAU
rfam:Schistosoma mansoni strain Puerto Rico chromosome 2, complete genome